rnacentral:rRNA from 1 species
GCUGUCCCGAAAGACGAGGGCGAACGGGUGCGUAACGCGUAUGCAAUCUACCUUUUACUAGGGUAUAGCCCGGAGAAAUUUGGAUUAAUCCCCUAUAAUAUCAUGAAUUCGCAUGAUUUUAUGAUUAAAGCUUCGGCGGUAAAAGAUGAGCAUGCGUCCUAUUAGUUAGUAGGUGAGGUAACGGCUCACCUAGACUACGAUAGGUAGGGGUCCUGAGAGGGAGAUCCCCCACACUGGUACUGAGACACGGACCAGACUCCUACGGGAGGCAGCAGUGAGGAAUAUUGGACAAUGGACGAAAGUCUGAUCCAGCUAUGCCGCGUGCAGGAUGACGGCCCUAUGGGUUGUAAACUGCUUUUAUACAGGAAGAAAAAAUCCGACGUGUCGGAUCUUGACGGUACUGUAAGAAUAAGGAUCGGCUAACUCCGUGCCAGCAGCCGCGGUAAUACGGAGGAUCCAAGCGUCAUCCGGAAUUAUCGCGUUUAAAGGGUCCGCAGGCGGUUUAUAAGUCAGAGGUGAAAUCCUGCAGCUCAACUGCUAGCAUUGCCCUUGAUACUGAAAGACUCGAGUUAUCGUGAAGUAGUCAGAAUGUGUAGUGUAGCGGUGAAAUGCCUAGAUAUUACCACAGAAUACCGAUUGCGAACAGCGAUCACUAACAAUAUACUGCCGCUGAGGGACAAAGCGUGGGUACGACAGGAUACAUCCCGGAGUCACGC